GAUGAACGCUGGCGGCGUGCCUAACACAUGCAAGUCGAGCGGCAGCGAGGGGUGCUUGCACCCUGUCGGCGAGCGGCGGACGGCUGAGUAACGCGUGGGAACGUGCCCCAAAGUGAGGAAUAACUGCCCGAAAGGGUAGCUAAUACCGCAUAUUAUCUUCGGAUCAAAGGAUUUAUCCGCUUUGGGAGCGGCUCGCGUCGGAUUAGGUAGUUGGUGAGGUAAUGGCUCACCAAGCCGACGAUCCGUAGCUGGUCUGAGAGGAUGACCAGCCAGACUGGAACUGAGACACGGUCCAGACUCCUACGGGAGGCAGCAGUGAGGAAUCGUCCACAAUGGGCGAAAGCCUGAUGGAGCAACGCCGCGUGCAGGACGAAGGCCUUCGGGUUGUAAACUGCUUUUAUAAGUGAGGAAUAUGACGGUAACUUAUGAAUAAGGAUCGGCUAACUACGUG
rnacentral:rRNA from 1 species